UCAGGAUGAACGCUAGCUACAGGCUUAACACAUGCAAGUCGAGGGGCAGCAUUGGAGUAGCAAUACUCAGAUGGCGACCGGCGCACGGGUGAGUAACACGUAUCCAACCUGCCGCUUACUCGGGGAUAGCCUUUCGAAAGAAAGAUUAAUACCCGAUGGUAUAAAGAGUUCGCAUGUUCUCUUUAUUAAAGAAUUUCGGUAAGCGAUGGGGAUGCGUUCCAUUAGAUAGUUGGCGGGGUAACGGCCCACCAAGUCUACGAUGGAUAGGGGUUCUGAGAGGAAGGUCCCCCACAUUGGAACUGAGACACGGUCCAAACUCCUACGGGAGGCAGCAGUGAGGAAUAUUGGUCAAUGGACGAGAGUCUGAACCAGCCAAGGUAGCGUGAAGGAUGACUCGCCCUAGUGGGUUAGUAAACUUCUUUUAUAAGGGAAUAAAGUGAGGGACGUGUCCCUUUUUGUAUGUACCUUAUGAAUAAGGAUCGGCUAACUCCGUGCCAGCCGCCGC
rnacentral:rRNA from 1 species